GGAUGCGAUCAUACUAGCACUAGUGCAUCGGAUCCCAUCAAAACUACGCAGCUAAGCGUGCUUGGACGAGAGUAAUACUAGGAUGGGAAAUCCUCGUGUUACAUCAC